GUGCUUUAGUGUGAUGGAACAACCUUCUACCAGAUUGCAUGAUUCACAUAUAAAAUUGAACUUUUGCCAAUAGGUUAAAAGGAAAAUUUCCCUAAUGACCAUAUUCUCGAGUUCACAACGUAUGCCUUGAAGUUUCACAUCUGGUAGCUCGUCGGGGCCUCCCGUUCCUGUGAAUCGUGGUUUGACCUUAUGGUCCCUGUUGAUGCCAAUGGCCACCCUCAAACCGAACAACGACAGAAGAUAGCAACCACUAACUAGCAGCUUGGUUGUUGGAGACAAGAAAGAGCCUAUAUAGGAUAAUUCUAGCAUUUCAUCACUCCAUUUGCAAUUGAUGGGUUGGUUGUUAGCUAUCGUUGAUCAUGUGAUAUCAAAAAUCCUCUCUCCUACCCUGC
rnacentral:sRNA from 1 species